UACGUAGGCAGCAAGCGUUGUUCGGAGUUACUGGGCGUAAAGAGUGCGUAGGCGGUGCGCCAAGUCUGUUGUGAAAUCUCCCGGCUUAACUGGGAGGGUGCGGUGGAAACUGGGGUGCUUGAGUGUGGGAGAGGUAAGCGGAAUUCCUGGUGUAGCGGUGAAAUGCGUAGAUAUCAGGAGGAACACCGGUGGUGUAGACGGCUUACUGGGCCGCGACUGACGCUGAGGCACGAAAGCGUGGGUAGCAAACAGG
rnacentral:rRNA from 1 species